rnacentral:tRNA from 1 species
GGCGCAGCCUGGUAGCGCACUGGUCUGGGGGACCAGGGGUCACCGGUUCAAAUCCGGUCGUCCCGACCA